rnacentral:rRNA from 1 species
CAGGAGCUUGCUCCUGGGUGACGAGCGGCGGACGGGUGAGUAAUGUCUGGGAAACUGCCCGAUGGAGGGGGAUAACUACUGGAAACGGUAGCUAAUACCGCAUAACGUCUUCGGACCAAAGUGGGGGACCUUCGGGCCUCACACCAUCGGAUGUGCCCAGAUGGGAUUAGCUAGUAGGUGAGGGAAUGGCUCACCUAGGCGACGAUCCCUAGCUGGUCUGAGAGGAUGACCAGCCACACUGGAACUGAGACACGGUCCAGACUCCUACGGGAGGCAGCAGUGGGGAAUAUUGCACAAUGGGCGCAAGCCUGAUGCAGCCAUGCCGCGUGUGUGAAGAAGGCCUUCGGGUUGUAAAGCACUUUCAGCGAGGAGGAAGGGUUCGGUGUUAAUAGCACUGUUCAUUGACGUUACUCGCAGAAGAAGCACCGGCUAACUCCGUGCCAGCAGCCGCGGUAAUACGGAGGGUGCAAGCGUUAAUCGGAAUUACUGGGCGUAAAGCGCACGCAGGCGGUUUGUUAAGUCAGAUGUGAAAUCCCCGAGCUUAACUUGGGAACUGCAUUUGAAACUGGCAAGCUAGAGUCUUGUAGAGGGGGGUAGAAUUCCAGGUGUAGCGGUGAAAUGCGUAGAGAUCUGGAGGAAUACCGGUGGCGAAGGC